AGUAGUGCGAUAGUUGAUUAUUAAAUUUAUUGAAACUGUGCUACGUAGGAAACCUCGAAGAAGUCCAGCGAGCUGCUCUGCCGUUGUACCGUCAGUUGGGGCGAAACUGUACUUUGGUGAUCCGAAGAGUGCAAGAAGGAGGGAAAGGAAGAGGAAGUGGAGGAGUUGUGAAGGAAAGAGGAAAAGUUAACGUAGGAAAGGAG